UACGUAGGGGGCAAGCGUUGUCCGGAUUUAUUGGGCGUAAAGAGCGUGUAGGCGGCCUUACAGGUCAGCUGUGAAAACUCGAGGCUCAACCUCGAGACGUCGGUUGAAACCGUAAGGCUAGAGUCCGGAAGAGGAGAGUGGAAUUCCCGGUGUAGCGGUGAAAUGCGCAGAUAUCGGGAAGAACACCAACAGUGAAGGCAGAUCUCUGGGACGUAACUGACGCUGAGACGCGAAAGCGUGGGGAGCAAACAGG
rnacentral:rRNA from 1 species